AUUGAACGCUGGCGGCAGGCCUAACACAUGCAAGUCGAGCGGAUGAAGGGAGCUUGCUCCUGGAUUCAGCGGCGGACGGGUGAGUAAUGUCUAGGAAUCUGCCUGGUAGUGGGGGAUAACGUCCGGAAACGGGCGCUAAUACCGCAUACGUCCUGAGGGAGAAAGUGGGGGAUCUUCGGACCUCACGCUAUCAGAUGAGCCUAGGUCGGAUUAGCUAGUUGGUGGGGUAAAGGCCUACCAAGGCGACGAUCUGUAACUGGUCUGAGAGGAUGAUCAGUCACACUGGAACUGAGACACGGUCCAGACUCCUACGGGAGGCAGCAGUGGGGAAUAUUGGACAAUGGGCGAAAGCCUGAUCCAGCCAUGCCGCGUGUGUGAAGAAGGUCUUCGGAUUGUAAAGCACUUUAAGUUGGGAGGAAGGGCAGUAAGUUAAUACCUUGCUGUUUUGACGUUACCAACAGAAUAAGCACCGGCUAACUUCGUG
rnacentral:rRNA from 1 species